CGCAACGGGAGGAGCGUGCGGUUCAAUUGGAUUCAACGCCGGAAAACUCACCGGAGGCGACGGAGGGAUGAAAGCCAGGCUGAAGACCUUGCCCGAUUCUCCGAGAGGUGGUGCAUGGCCGUCGUCAGUUCGUACCGUAAGGCGUUCUGUUAAGUCAGAUAACGAACGAGACCCUCGCCCUCAGUCGCGAUUUCGCGGGAGACUGCGAGAGCACACUGAGGGGAUCGCUGCCGCUAAGACAGAGGAAGGAGAGGUCUACGGUAGGUCCGUAUGCCCCGAAUCUUCCGGGCAACACGCGCGCUACAAAGGUUGGGACGAUGGGAUCCGACCCCGAAAGGAGAAGGCAAUCCUGAAACCCAAUCGUAGUCUGGAUCGAGGGCUGUAACUCGCCCUCGUGAAAAUGGAUUCCGUAGUAAUCGCGGGUCAACNUCCCGCGGUGAAUGUGCCCCUGCUCU
rnacentral:rRNA from 1 species